AUUCCGUGGUGUGGACACUUCCUUUGCAACCCUUUAUAUCUAUCCCAAGCCUCAUAUAAUGCUUCACCAUCUUCUUGAAAAAAUAAAGUGAUUUUAUUGCGUAGUUU